CAGUCGCCACGGUAAUACGGAGGGGGCUAGCGUUGUUCGGAAUUACUGGGCGUAAAGCGCACGUAGGCGGCUUGGUAAGUUAGAGGUGAAAGCCCAGGGCUCAACCCUGGAAUUGCCUUUAAGACUGCCGAGCUAGUAGGUGAGAGAGGUAAGUGGAAUUCCGAGUGUAGAGGUGAAAUUCGUAGAUAUUCGGAAGAACACCAGUGGCGAAGGCGGCUCACUGGCUCAUACUGGACGCUGAGGUGCGAAAGCGUGGGGGGCAAACAGGAUUAGAUACCCGAGUAGUCCCUGUCUCUUAUAA
rnacentral:rRNA from 1 species